rnacentral:rRNA from 1 species
GAUGAACGCUGGCGGCGUGCCUAAUACGUGCAAGUCGAGCGAAUGGAUUAAGAGCUUGCUCUUAUGAAGUUAGCGGCGGACGGGUGAGUAACACGUGGGUAACCUGCCCAUAAGACUGGGAUAACUCCGGGAAACCGGGGCUAAUACCGGAUAAUAUUUUGAACUGCAUGGUUCAAAAUUGAAAGGCGGCUUCGGCUGUCACUUAUGGAUGGACCCGCGUCGCAUUAGCUAGUUGGUGAGGUAACGGCUCACCAAGGCAACGAUGCGUAGCCGGCCGGAGAGGGGGAUCGGCCACACUGGGACUGAGACACGGCCCAGACUCCUACGGGAGGCAGCAGUAGGGAAUCUUCCGCAAUGGACGAAAGUCUGACGGAGCAACGCCGCGUGAGUGAUGAAGGCUUUCGGGUCGUAAAACUCUGUUGUUAGGGAAGAACAAGUGCUAGUUGAAUAAGCUGGCACCUUGACGGUACCUAACCAGAAAGCCACGGCUAACUACGUGCCAGCAGCCGCGGUAA